rnacentral:rRNA from 1 species
UACGAAGGGGGGCUAGCGUUGUUCGGAAUUACUGGGCGUAAAGCGCACGUAGGCGGAUGUUUAAGUUAGGGGUGAAAUCCCAGGGCUCAACCCUGGAACUGCCUCUAAUACUGGGCAUCUAGAGUCCGAGAGAGGUGAGUGGAAUUCCGAGUGUAGAGGUGAAAUUCGUAGAUAUUCGGAGGAACACCAGUGGCGAAGGCGGCUCACUGGCUCGGUACUGACGCUGAGGUGCGAAAGCGUGGGGAGCAAACAGG